GUCCUCCCCUGUUCGUGCGAGUCUUCUGUUUCUCACCCAAAGUACCGCUUCUCUUAAGGCUAGGGCUUCGGCGACCCACACGGACGGAGCAAAAAUCGGCUUCGCGAAUCCAUGGGUGAGAAUUCCGGCGAUGUUUCUGCAAACUCCCGCAAUCGAACCCACCUUGGUCAACUCACACCAGGAGCAGUCGACGUUGAUUUUCAUCUCCUUUGCUGUAGGUGGUUUCCAUUUCAGCUCUGGAUUGUGGGUAUUCGGGUUUGGUUGGCGUCCUUGGAAGAUUGCUCUGUUUCGGCACUUCCAGAUCUGCCAGAGUGCUCCCGCGAACAGGGCUUUUGAGUGUUGGUCGGCUCGUGAGGUUAGGUUUUCGACAAUCCACUUGUCUAUACGGGUGAUUCGCUCUGGGGAUGUGUCGGCAUGGAGAGAAGGAUCUGACCAUAUGUUCCUGGUCCAGGCGCAGAGAGUGAAGAGGUGCUCUGCUGAUUCCGGGGCUUGUCUGCACACCUGACAGAACUGUUCAUCAAAGUUUGGAGCCUGCACCUGAGUGGAUGAAUCUGUUUUUGAGCAUUCUGGAAGAUCCUCCUACUCCAUUUACUUAAUUCAGCAGCCACCCGCCUUGUUUUGCCUGCCAUACCAGUAUGUCUCGAAGCGAAAAGGUUUCUUCCUUCGCAACUCUGGUGGAUUUAAGGAUAAAAGGAUAGGACUGUGGUCGGACCCUAUUGCCAAGAAA